GUGCACCAGCGAGAAUUUUUCUCAAUGGGGGCAACCCUGAAGGAGCGACGCCGCGUGGAGGAUGAAGGCUUUCGGGUUGUAAACUCCUGUCAUUUGAGAACAAGUGCCAACAAGUAACUACUGUUGGCUUGAUAGUAUCAGAAGAGGAAGGGACGGCUAACUCUGUGCCAGCAGCCGCGGUAAUACAGAGGUCCCAAGCGUUGUUCGGAUUCAUUGGGCGUAAAGGGUGCGUAGGUGGCGUGGUAAGUCGGGUGUGAAAUUUCGGAGCUUAACUCCGAAACUGCAUUCGAUACUGCCGUGCUUGAGGACUGGAGAGGAGACUGGAAUUUACGGUGUAGCAGUGAAAUGCGUAGAGAUCGUAAGGAAGACCAGUGGCGAAGGCGGGUCUCUGGACAGUUCCUGACACUGAGGCACGAAGGCCAGGGGAGCAAACGGGAUUAGAUACCCGCGUAGU
rnacentral:rRNA from 1 species